rnacentral:lncRNA from 1 species
GACACGUGAAAAACUUUUCUCCUACAAAUAACGCGGAGCACUCCGAAACCUUAGUUCUUAACAUGGAUAUAAACCUAAGAGAAUUCAAGUUAGAAUCGUAGUAGGUAUUCUUUGCUUAAUUUCUAGUGCACUCCAUGCGUAAAGGCGUUGCUUAAUUUCUUGUAUCGUAAAACUAAAACCCUCCUUUUGGUUUAGCUUCUGCGUUGAAAGAUACAGAGAAGAAAGGCAUAUUAAUACAAAUCAAGAAACCAAGAUGAUCCGAGUAAUGGAUGAAAGAGAAGUCAGUCUUCAUUUACAGGCAAUUCCAUGCCGAUUGUUGAGGUUUCUUGUUCCUUUUGGAUUGUUCAGAACAUUCGCAGGCCAAAUAUGGAGAUUAUUUGCAGGCCAAUGCCAGAAUUUGUGCGAUUUCAUAUCGGUGAAGCUUGCAGAAGAGGCAGCGAAGCCUGUGAUUUUGGGUCCCCCUUUACAUGAUAAGUGUAAAUGAUGCCAUGGAAAAGAACUCAUUCAUGUUCGACUUACUUUUACUAAUAGUUAUUGAACUUUAAUAAUGUGGAGAUUUUUACCUUUCUUAUACAGAUUCUUCGUUAAUUGUGUUUUCUUGAUUUAAUUUUAUGUACAGUAUUACGUUUGAAAGAAAAUUGCAGCAUUGGUCACCAAGUUGUGAGGUUGAGCAGCUACUUUUAUGUGUUAAUAAAGCAUCGUGACCCUUUGGUGGGUCGAUCAAUUGCAUUGGGUAAUAGAUGAAGGAUCUAUCUUAAUUGCUAGUGCAUUUGCCAUUCGUUCCGUCAUCAAAUCUACACGGUCUAGUGGAUUGGAUAGAGUUUGAUCCUAGCUUAGAAAGAACACAAGUUCUAUGCUUAACACAUGCGAGUCGACAAGAUCCUGCUUUCUAGUCUCCCUUUCAACCUUGUAUUAGGAUAUCGGGGAAUAACAGUUUAUGAGGUUCUAAUAUCUUAAGCAAAAUAUAUUUGGUAGCUUAAGUGAAUAUAUCAAAUAGGGUAAAUAGCACAAAACAUCCCCAUCUUUCAAUGUUAUUGUGCAAAACGUCUAUACCUUUCAUUUUUUGACAUUUUCACCCUAUUUGCCACCUUUCAUUGCGCAAAAUGUUAUUUUCAUUCAUUUUUCCAAUAAAAAGAUAAUUUUACCCUCGUAUUCAAAUAAAAGAACUAAAUAGCAACUGUUACGUUCCUAUCCGAACCAUUUCGGAGAGUCUACCUCUGCCUAUUACGAGGUGUUCAGCACCCAUCCAAAGUAGUUCCGAAGUUACUUCACCACCAAUGUUGUCGAUCUGCUAACACACUGUGUGGCAUAGACAAUUCUGCCGAAUCGACCAAAGCAUCCUCGCCCAUGAAGCCGAGGCGCACUCCGAGGACCUCUGCCAGGAUCCGCCGUCAAUUCCAGAAAGAGAUCUAUGUCAGGAUCCUUUCUACCCCUAAGGUUUAAUUGAUUUGACAUCUAUAUGAGCCUAGUUGAUGUGACGUAUCAACUUUAUUUCAACUCAACUCGAGAGAAGUAAUUACUCGCCUACUCUAUAGACGCGACUGAUUGACGCCUAUAAGUAGAUGCCUCACACCGCCAAAUGCAUACAGUUCGAUAACAAGAAGAUAUGAGACUUAUGCGACGAACUGAGCAUAAAGAAGGAUUUCUCAACACCUCAUCACCCACAAGCAAAUGGGCAAGUUGAGGCAGUAAACAAAACAAUCAAGCAUACCCUGAAAAGGAAGCUUGACACCUCGAAGGGGGCUUGGGUCGAUGAGCUUUUCCACGUCCUCUGGGCCAUCAGAACAACUAGCCGAAUUGCAACAGGGGAGACACCCUUUUCAAUGACCUACGAAGUCGAGGCCAUGAACCCGGUCGAGGUAGGAGUCCCAUCGCACCGUCGAAUACACUUCAAUGAGAUCAAUAAUGACGAGGCUCGAAUGAGCGAACUCCACCUCCCUGAAAAAAGGAAGGAUACCUCCCAGGUGAACUUGACAAAGUAUCAUAGAAAGAUGACCCGCUAUUAUAACUCCAAGAUCAGAAAUCAGACUCUUCACCUGGGGGACCUCGUCCUUAGAAGGGUCUUCCAAUCAUCAAAGCCAACUAGGUCCGAAGUGUUGGGAAUGAACUAAGAGGGUCCUUAUCGCAUCUGUAGGGAAUCCCGACCUGACACAUUUGAAAUUGAAGACAUGGCAGGGAAAGCACUGCCUCAUCAAUGGAACAUCGAACACUUGAGGAAGUACUAUUAGUGAUGAACUUGUGUUCCUAUCCGAUCUCAAUGUUGUCUAGUAAAUGUGUCAUGAUCCGAUCUCAUUUGUAACUUCCCUAUCUUACUAAGUGCUGAAAAUGCCUUAGUGAAGGGUGAUGUAACUUCUCUACGUAAUGAUACUUCAGUUCUUUAUCACAUCGGUUAGUAAAUUGUUACCUCAACUCUUUAAUAUGUUAAUUAGUCCGAUCUCCUGUUAUUAACCGGUUAUUGGUAAAUGGCGCUUCAUGUUUACUUAAGUGAUUUUCAUUCAUAUACUUAAGUGUAAACGACUCAACAAACAAUGAAAAAAGCAGAAGCAACAAUACUUGACAAAAAUUUCACUUCAUUCAUUUGAAAUUGGAUUACAAAAGAGGCCGAGUCCAUUACAAAGAUUAACUCUUUUCUACGGGGGCAUCUUCCACCCCGGCCUCCGCCUCGCCUGCCCUAGGUGCCUCUGGAGCGUCCUCGACGAACAUAUCAAGCCGACCUCCAGUAGGCCUACCGAACUCUGCCUCUAACGAGGAUAUGUCCAGAAUAGGAUGAACCUCUUUCAGCCGACACAAUAAUCCUUAGACGCUCUAGGAAGCCCAGAAGUUUGCAAAGUUGUUGUACAGGGGGUGAUCUUCGAAGUGGUCGAUGAAGUUCUGUACAGCCACCUCCCCUUCCAACUUCAUCUCCACCUUCAGAGAGGCGAUCUCCUCAGCUUGGGCAUCCGCCCUCUGCCUCAGCUCCGCCUUUUCUUUAUUAGAGGCCUUCAGAGCCUCCGUGGCGAGCCGGUGGUGCUUGUUUGCAUGAUCAACUCUUCAGGUAAUAGUAGCCACCUGGCACUCCACUUCAUAGAGCUCCUUCUUCAGCCGCUCUAUAUCCCCCUUGGCAGUUACCAGCUGGGCCUCAGCCUCCUUACUUCCUCUCUUUUCCUCCUCGACCUUAGCUCGGGCCUCCCUCACUGCGUCACCAUAUUGCAUCGCCUCCUCAAAGCGCUUGGUGAGGCACUCCCUCUUAGCGUUGAGGUCUUUCACCAAGCCCUCAAGUAGGAUGCUUGUGCUUAAGGCCCGGGCCACAUAAGCACUGUUGAUCGCAACCAAGUCCUCGACAGUGCAGGAGGUGGUGUGAUCUCUUCAUUCCUCGGUCCAAUACUUAUUGUGGACUAUCGCCACCGCAGCCGUCUCUGGAGGAAGAGCCUCCAGCACUUCUUUCACUGGCUCAUUAGAAUUGGUGCCCAAGAAAUCCACCUCCAUCGAGGGACGGGCCCUUUUCCUCUUUGGCUACCCUGGCACUUGGGCAAUGGGCACAACAGCUACUGGCGAUGUGGCUGGGGGUAGGAAAAGCCUCUGAUGGAGCAGGCGUCUUCUCCGGGAUUACCAUCUCGGUACGAAUUGUUGUCUGCCUCAGAGCCGGAGGCGGCCUCGCCACAGUUGGGCGCUUUGAGGGACAGCAGGCUUCUUGUCCUUUCGCAGCAGGUUUGCAUCUAGAUCCUCCACCACCUGCUCCUCGGUUGGAGGCUGGAGCCUAUUGUUGGCAUCCACCAGAUCCUCCAUCUGCUUUUUGUACACAGAGGAGGAGGUAUUCAGGGCUCUUGCCUCUGCCAUCAUCUUUUGGAUGGUUUUGAAGUCUGGCCUCAGAGGUAGCUUCUUGUUAAAAUUAUCUGUAAGGGAACAAGUACUUUAGUACAAGUGUAAACAGUUCAGAAAGUGCUGAAAGAUAUUCGCUUCGGGACAUUUACCUUGAGAGGCCAUCAAGUCGUGCGUUACGAAGUGGAUGUUUUUUCUGAUCAGCUGGUGGUAUGAUCUUCUCUUUGGAGGCAUCUAGUAAAUGAUGCAGAUGAUAUCGAAGUCGUCGGUGGAUAACUCACACCAAGGAAGAGUGCCUUAAAAAACAAACAGAGUAGUUAAGAACCGAACCGAAGAAGAAUAAACAAGAAACAUAAAGCCACAGUACUCACUAAGUGUUGAAUAUUUCGUGGGGACUGUGAGAAGCACCAGGGGGUCCCCUUCCAUCGUGUCCCAUCUCCCGAUAGCCCAGCACCACGAGCUCUUCCACUCCUUAAUGAAGCUCGACAGAUCAAGCACGAAUAGAGUGUGGGAACCCCAUGAGGUCAAGUAGUACCAGCCCCUGGUCUUAUCUUCCCAGCCACUACCUUGGGGAUGUAGAGGGUUUGGAAUACAGAAAAAAGGCAUCUCUACCCCAAGUGACGCCUCCUUUCAUGACAUCUAGGAGCCCACCAUUUGGCUUCAGGAGUUCGGGUUCAAUUGGGUAGGAGUUAAGUCGUAUGACCUAAGUAACAUACGGAAGAAAGGAUGGAUUGGGAGCCUAAGGUUAGCCCUAAGGAUCACCUCACUAAUUGCCACGCACCCUGGCCUAGGGUAGCAGGCCCGCUCAUCAGGUUCAAGUAGGAUCAAAUCUACACUAUCUGGGAUCGUAUAUUCAGCCCUAAGUCUUUCCAGGUCGAUACCCUUUAGCUUAGAGGGGUAAUUCGACGCCCCCCAAUGCACAUAUGUGUCUAUUGGGCUAUUUGGUCUCUUUCAUAUGUUCUCCCCCCAAUAAUCGCUUCGAUUAUUUCAGAGGAGGUUGCCAAAAUGGGCUCGUCCAUCCUCACUAGUUCCAACCCCUCCCCGAGCUACCACUACCCUCAGAAGUCAUUUACAGAAAUGAAAAGUUUCAAAUACUUACUGAAACUUUCGAAAUGGAGUGUCCCGCAGUCGAAAAUGGUCAAGAAACAACUUAAGUCACUGAAAACUGGGAUUUCUCUUCGAAAAGUGCUUGAAGAAUGUCGAAAAAUGCAAAGAUUUUGAGAGCAAAUGGGGUUUUUGAUUUUAAAAAAGUGAAAAGCUCCAAAAAUGCUUAAGUCCACCUUUUAUAGAGCGUCCCAACUGAUCUCCACCGUUGAAUUCAAAUGCAAUCAAUCUAGGCUGUCCGUCGCAUUAUUAAUCUAGGCCGUUGAAAUGAAACGCCAUAUUUGAUCUACGCCUAAGAUCUAGCUGUGACCUCUACGCUCAUGCGAAAUGCGUUGCCUCGAUCACCAUUAGCCGUCUACAAUAAGUAAACGCAGCAAUCUUUUCUAGGAAUGUGCAUCGUACCCAACUGUCGCCUUGAAAAUACACGACACCUGUCAAAUCAUUUAACGUCAAAGAUGCCCGCCUCAGAUCGAGCUUUUGACUUAGCUUUACAAAACUUAGACGCACCUGAAGUGGAGUCUCCUGUGGGUCAUUGCCUCGAUAGCAGCGUUCCCUCCUAAACUUUACAAAGUUUUAGCCAUCUUCUAACGCGUCAUCCCCAGUGGGUCAGUGCACCGGUGUUAAUGAGCUCCUCACUCAGCUUUACAAAACUUAGACGCACUUGACACGGAGUCCCCUGUGGAUCAUCGCCUUGGUAGCUGCAUUUCCUCCUAAACUUUACAAUAAGCUUUACAAAGUUUUAGCCAUCUCCCAACGCGUCGUCCCCUGUGGGUCAUCGCCUUGGUAGCUGCAUUUCCUCCUAAACUUUACAAUAAGCUUUACAAAGUUUUAGCCAUCUCCCAACGCGUCGUUCCCUAUAGGUCAGCGCACCGGUGGUAGAUGAGCUUCUUGCUUAGCUUUACAAAGCUUAGACGCACCUGGCGCGAAGUCUCCUGUGGGUCAUCGCCUUGGUAGCUGCAUUUCCUCCUAAACUUUACAAUAAGCUUUACAAAGUUUUAGCCAUCUCCCAACGCGUCGUUCCCUAUAGGUCAGCGCACCGGUGGUAGAUGAGCUUCUUGCUUAGCUUUACAAAGCUUAGACGCACCUGGCGCGAAGUCUCCUGUGGGUCAUUACCUUGGUGGCUGCAUUCCGUCCUAAGCUUUAUAAAGCUUUAACCAUCUACCAACGCGUCGUCCCCUGUGGGUCAGUGCACCGGUGGCAGAUGAGCUCCUCACUCAACUUUACAAAACUUAGAUGCACCUGAUGUGGAAUCCCCUGUGGGUCAUCGCCUCGGUAGCUAUGUUUCCUCCUAAACUUUACAAAGCUUUAGCCAUCUUCCAACACGUCAUCCCCUGUGGGUCAGUACACCGGUGGCAGAUGAGCUCCUCACUCAACUUUACAAAACUUAGAUGCACCUGACGCGGAGUCCCCUGUGGGUCAUCGCCUCGGUAACUGCGUUUCCUCCUAAACUUUACAAUAAGCUUUACAAAACUUUAGCCAUCUCCCAACGUGUCGUCCCCUGUGGGUCAGCGCAUUGAUGGCAAAUGAGCUUUUCGCUCGUUUUACAAAGUUUAGUCGCACCUGACGCGAAAUCCCAUGUGAGUCAUUACCUCGGUAGUUGCGUUCCCUCCUAAACUUUACAAAGCUUUAGCCAUCUCCCAAUGCGUUGUCCCUUAUGGGUCAGCGCACCGAUGGCAGAUGAGCUCCUCACUCAACUUUACAAAGUUUAGACGCACCUGACGCGGAAUCCCCUGUGGGUCAUCGCCUCGGUAGCUACGUUCCCUCCUAAGCGUUACAAAGCUUUAGCCAUCUCCCAACGCGUCGUCCCGUGUGGGUCAGCGUACUAGUUGCAGAUGAGCUCCUCACUCAACUUUACAAAGUUUAGACACACCUGACGCGGAUUUCCCUGUGGGUCAUCACCUCGGUAGCUGCAUUCCCUCCUAAGCUUUAUAAAACUUUGGCUGCCUCCCAUUGCAUCAUCCUAUAGGCCAGCACAUCAGUUAAAGAUAAGUUCCUUCCUUAGUCAAUGAUAAAGCUUUAUUUCAUCUAUCAAAAAUAUUUCCCGACAUACAUCGCUUCGGUAAAAAAAGGAAAACCAACCCGCAAGCUCUUACAAAUCGAGGUUCUUGUCCCAAGGCAGACAUACCCGAUCGGAAAAACAAGUCCACCCAUGAUAUAAAUAUUCAUGCCUAAACUUGGGGGUACCACUGUUACGCCCCUAUCCGAACCACUUCGGAGAGUAUACCUCUGCCUAUUACGAGGUGUUCAGCACCCAUCCGAAGUGGUUCCGAAGU